rnacentral:tRNA from 1 species
GGGGCCAUAGCUCAGUUGGUAGAGCGUCUGCUUUGCAAGCAGAAAGUCCGCAGUUCGAGUCUGCGUGGCUCCA